rnacentral:rRNA from 1 species
AUUGAACGCUGGCGGCAGGCCUAACACAUGCAAGUCGAACGAGUGGCGGACGGGUGAGUAAUGUCUGGGAAACUGCCCGAUGGAGGGGGAUAACUACUGGAAACGGUAGCUAAUACCGCAUACCAUCGGAUGUGCACAGAUGGGAUUAGGGAGUAGGUGGGGUAACGGAUCACCUAGGCGACGAUCCCUAGCUGGUCUGAGAGGAUGACCAGCCACACUGCAACUGAGACACGGUCCAGACUCCGACGGGAGGCAGCAGUGGGGAAUAUUGCACAAUGGGCGCAAGCCUGAUUCAGCCAUGCCGCGUGUAUGAAGAAGGCCUUCGGGUUGUAAAGUACUUUCAUCGGGGAGGCGUUACCCGCAGAAGAAGCACCGGCUAACUCCGUGCCAGCAGCCGCGGUAAUUU